CUGACUAUUGAUAAAUUGUCUUGAUUGGCUGAUUUUAUCUAUGAUUGGAUGAAAACAAUUUUUAUGAAAUAACUGUUAUGUUGCAGAUUAUGCACAAGUUGAAGAAAGGAGCUGCUGUGGGAUGGUAAAAAAAGUUCCAGGAGCAACAAAGAGUCUUGACUUUUAUAGGGGUGCAGAUUUUAAAGAAAGAAAACUGUGUUGUAAAGAAAGAAGAUUUUCCAUCAAAAAAUGGUGGAUGACAAAGUUCUUCCUAUGAAUGAUGUCAUAACCCACUUUGAAAAAAAAGUUUGUUGGAGAGAAAAGGAUCUGAAGAGGGAGAAAGAAUUGAUUAUAUUCAGAUGGAUUUAUAGACUGUUAGACCUUUUGCUAUCACUUAAUUCUGUACUAUUAGUUCUGCAACACUGAGCCUAUAAGCUUUUGACUUGACGGUUUAUCUUAUUUGAGAGAGCAUAGUCCAUUUUUUAGGCAUUUCAAGAUUAACAAUGCAGAAUAUGUACAUAUGUAAUGGCAGGUAAAAAUCCCACACAAACAGGACACUGAUAAGACUGGAAUUUAGAGAUAUUUCAUUUCUCUCUUGUGUGAAUUAAAAAAAAUUAAUGCCAGAAACAAUAUAA